rnacentral:rRNA from 1 species
CCUACGGGGGGCAGCAGUAGGGAAUCUUCCACAAUGGGCGAAAGCCUGAUGGAGCAACGCCGCGUGGGUGAAGAAGGCUUUCGGGUUGUAAACUUCUUUUCUGAGGGACGAAGAAAGUGACGGUACCUCAGGAAUAAGCCACGGCUAACUACGUGCCAGCAGCCGCGGUAAUACGUAGGUGGCAAGCGUUAUCCGGAUUUAUUGGGUGUAAAGGGCGUGUAGGCGGGAAAGCAAGUCAGAUGUGAAAACUCAGGGCUCAACCCUGAGCCUGCAUUUGAAACUGUUUUUCUUGAGUGCUGGAGAGGCAAUCGGAAUUCCGUGUGUAGCGGUGAAAUGCGUAGAUAUACGGAGGAACACCAGUGGCGAAGGCGGAUUGCUGGACAGUAACUGACGCUGAGGCGCGAAAGCGUGGGGAGCAAACAGGAUUAGAUACCCGGGUAGUC